CAGCCGCCGCGGUAAUACGUAGGUGGCGAGCGUUGUCCGGAAUUAUUGGGCGUAAAGAGCAUGUAGGUGGGAAUGUAAGUCUGUUGUUAAAAUGCGGGGCUCAACCCCGUAUUGCACUGGAAACUACAUUUCUUGAGUGCAGGAGAGGAAAGGGGAAUUCCCAGUGUAGCGGUGAAAUGCGUAGAUAUUGGGAGGAACACCAGUGGCGAAGGCGCCUUUCUGGACUGUGUCUGACACUGAGAUGCGAAAGCUAGGGGAGCGAACGGGAUUAGAUACCCCGGUAGUCCUAGCCGUAAACGAUGGGUACUAGGUGUAGGAGGUAUCGACCCCUUCUGUGCCGGAGUUAACGCAAUAAGUACCCCGCCUGGGGAGUACGGCCGCAAGGUUGAAACUCAAAGGAAUUGACGGGGGCCCGCACAAGCGGUGGAGUAUGUGGUUUAAUUCGACGCAACGCGAAGAACCUUACCAAGGCUUGACAUCAACUGAAAGAUAUAGAGAUAUAUCCCUCUCUUCGGAGACAGGAAGACAGGUGGUGCAUGGCC
rnacentral:rRNA from 1 species